rnacentral:rRNA from 1 species
AUUGAACGCUGGCGGAAUGCUUUACACAUGCAAGUCGAACGGCAGCACGGACUUCGGUCUGGUGGCGAGUGGCGAACGGGUGAGUAAUGUAUCGGAACGUGCCCAGUCGUGGGGGAUAACGUAGUGAAAAUUACGCUAAUACCGCAUACGAUCUAUGGAUGAAAGCGGGGGAUCGCAAGACCUCGCGCGAUUGGAGCGGCCGAUAUCAGAUUAGGUAGUUGGUGGGGGAAAGGCCCACCAAGCCAACGAUCUGUAGCUGGUCUGAGACGACGACCAGCCAACCUGGAACUGAGACACGGUCCAGGCUCCUACGGGAGGCAGCAGUGGGGAAUUUUGGACAAUGGGCGAAAGCCUGAUCCAGCCAUUCCGCGUGCAGGAUGAAGGCCCUCGGGUUGUAAACUGCUUUUGUACAGAACGAAAAGGUUUCUACUAAUACUAGGAGCUCAUGACGGUACUGUAAGAAUAAGCACCGGCUAACUACGUGCCAGCCGCCGCGGUAA